rnacentral:lncRNA from 1 species
GAGAUUAGAAAGUUGCUGUGUGAGUUCAGGGAACAGCCUGGAGGACAUGGAACGUUUGGGGAGGAAAUGAAGCUGCCCGAAGGCUGACAACUUUGGCAAAGCAACCAUGGAGAAAGGGAACAUGCCAACAGACAUGAAAUUCUUCAGUGUCUUGAAUGGGAAAAGAAAAAAAUGGGAGCUUGACAGGAGUGGUAAAGGCCACUGUCUUUGCCUGAAGCUUCAAGGUGUCAGGAUGAGUAUUUGUUGCCACUAAGGCUGCCAGAAGCAUGAAGAACAGUUAUAGCAAGUGUCUCACUCAAUCUAUGUGGCUGGAGUGUGCCCAGAAUGCACGGGAGCAUGGAAAUGCAUGGAAACUUCAUAUAACAAACUCUAACAACUCCUCACUGAAUGUAUGUGAAGAAAGACUUAUUUUCAAAGCACUGAAAUUGGCCACAUCUCAGCAUCUGUUUCUAUAGCAACUGCUAAAAGCACAACCC